AACCACACUUGUCCCUCAGUCUUAGGCAGUUGAUCUUGGAUUUAAAGGCAAGUUACCAUCAAAGGGAAAGGAGAAAUAAGGCAUGAAGGUGAAAAUUCAGCUGUGGGACUUGCUGAGUCCCACCUGACAUACUUGUUGGUGCUUGGGGGGCAGAGUGUGGAUCAAGAAAGAAACAGACAACACAUAGAGUCCGGAGGGCGUCUAGUAAAUACUGUCAUCGGCCUCGCCCCCAGGGCGUCCAGUAAAUACUGUCAUCGGCCUCGUGAUUAUUUCUCAUGCCUUUAAAUACCUCAAUCCAAAAAGGAGGGGGAAGGCAAAAGACUUCUUUACCAAGAUACAAACGACAACAAAGUAAUUACCUUCUGAAUACCCAAAACAUAAAGUAACCACAGCCUAAGUCAAAACAUCCUAUUAAUAGCCACACCCUGGACCAAACCUCCUGUCAUAACCUUAAGGAGCAAGAAUAGGGCUGAACUCUCUGACCUUUACUCAAGGUGGAACAGAUCCACUUUGGUGGACUUCACAGGGAACUUCGGGCUUUAACUGUGAAUGGAGCCCAGAACUCUGUGUAAAGAUCCUUGAUGUAAAGGCGCUUCUCACUUAACAGGCACCCGUGAGCUUUUAGCUCAGUGUGAGCCGUUUCUUCUUGGUUGUGGAGGAAAACCAGUUUCUCUUGACUUAAGUCAUCCCAGCGAGUUCUGGCUUCACUCCGGUCUCACGGGACACCGUGGACUUCCGACUUCAGGAUUUGCUUUCCUCCAUCUAACGCAUCUGUGCUCAUUCGUCUUCUGAUCAUACGGCUGAAAGUAUAAUCCCCCUGGAGAGUGUGGAUGCGUGCCUGCCUGAGAUGGAUGCAGGUUAAUCACAGAAGACAAGCGCUCCAUUGCCCCUGGGCAGAGUCGACCCAGAUUCGCUCCGCGUGAUUUUCACGGUUCACUACAUCAGGGUUAGGGAGAAGUCUGGACAUGGAAAAGCUUUGAUUCAGAUUUUUAGAACCUCACAAGCAAAAGAACCUAGUUAUUACCGGGCUAAGCGCUGAGAUCAGGCUGAGUCCUGUUGUGUUUAAAGGUGGUGUUCCAGCCUGAGCUUACUCUGGGACUUCAUUUUAUAAGCAGCUUUGACUACAUUUUGAGGAUAGGGGAUGGCUCUGGACGACAGAGUUUCUUUCAGGCAACGAGGAAGCAUGCUCCUGUUCACUGCCAUGACUAACUGAAGAAUGGGCCAAAGAGACCCAUACAAAGGCCUGCCCGGUGCUUUGAGAAGAAAGCAUAGACCUUACCCGUGUCAUAAGUUGCCGAGGCAGACAGGGCACUAUUAUGGUCUUCCUUGAUAACAUCAGCACCAUCACGACCGCUGAAGGACAUCUGAAGGACAUCU